rnacentral:rRNA from 1 species
GAUGAACGCUGGCGGCGUGCCUAAUACAUGCAAGUCGAGCGAACAGACGAGGAGCUUGCUCCUCUGACGUUAGCGGCGGACGGGUGAGUAACACGUGGAUAACCUACCUAUAAGACUGGGAUAACUUCGGGAAACCGGAGCUAAUACGGGAUAAUAUAUUUAACCGAAUGGUUCAAUGGUGAAAGACGGGUUUGCGGUCACUUAUAGAUGGAUCCGCGCCGCAUUAGCUAGUUGGUAAGGUAACGGCUUACCAAGGCAACGAUGCGUAGCCGACCUGAGAGGGUGAUCGGCCACACUGGAACUGAGACACGGUCCAGACUCCUACGGGAGGCAGCAGUAGGGAAUCUUCCGCAAUGGGCGAAAGCCUGACGGAGCAACGCCGCGUGAGUGAUGAAGGUCUUCGGAUCGUAAAACUCUGUUAUUAGGGAAGAACAAAUGUGUAAGUAACUAUGCACGUCUUGACGGUACCUAAUCAGAGAGCCACGGCUAACUACGUG